AUACGUAGGUGGCAAGCGUUGUCCGGAUUUACUGGGCGUAAAGGAUGCGUAGGCGGAUGUUUAAGUGAGAUGUGAAAUCCCUAAGCUUAACUUAGGUGCUGCAUUUCAAACUGGAUAUCUAGAGUGCAGGAGAGGAGAAUGGAAUUCCUAGUGUAGCGGUGAAAUGCGUAGAGAUUAGGAAGAACACCAGUGGCGAAGGCGAUUCUCUGGACUGUAACUGACGCUGAGGCAUGAAAGCGUGGGUAGCAAACAGGAUUAGAUACCCUGGUAGUCCACGCCGUAAACGAUGAGUACUAGGUGUAGGAGGUCUAAGCCUUCUGUGCCGCAGUUAACACAAUAAGUACUCCGCCUGGGAAGUACGAUCGCAAGAUUAAA
rnacentral:rRNA from 1 species